GGCAGUGGGUGUGUAGCCCCCAGCCAAUAUCAAUGCACAGGUGAGGUAGGGACUCUAUAAAAAGGUAGCGAGCAGGUUCCAGACCAGAAGCACGCAUCCAAGAGGAAGCUACAAAAAUGGUGGACACAGCACUGAAAAAACACAAAAUAUGGCGAGGCGAAAUGCCAAACGGACAAACCUCAUUCCAAAACAAAAGUGAAUCCGGGGUUGGCUUUCACCCACCGGCGAGCACUGAAGGAGACGAUGGGGAUGAAGAGUAAUGCGGAGUUGGCCUGUUUUCUGUUGGACAGUCUGCCAAGCUCAGCACUCCAUAAGAGCCUGUCUGUGUUCCCUGCAUCCCCCACUGGACCUGGACUACCUGAUAGGACCUUUGGAUGGGAAUCCUCCACCAUGUUGCCAGUGAGCAGGUCUGGGUCAUGGGCAGAUGCCAGCAUGACUGCCAUCCAACCAACCGGACAAAGAACUGGAUUGAGAGGAGGACCAGAGCUCACGAGACCCUGACCAAUAUCGCUGGCUGAACUUCAGCUCUCACUCCUUGGCCUCUUCUCCCCCGAGGCUCUGUUCUGCCCUGGCUGACACUGUAAUCUGUGUCGCCUGAGUCUGAAGCUAGGGAAGCUCUGCUAAAUUCUCCCAUCUGGACACAAAAACACCACACUAGUCAGUGUGCGUGUAUAAGGAUGGCAGACGACCACCACAGCUCAGAGGGAGAGCGAAGAGCUAAGUGACCCUGAAAAAGGUGGACUGAUGUAAGGUUACUUCCAUGGAACAAUUGGACAUCAAUUCUCGGUUUUCCGAACAGCUUUGGAUUCUUGGCUACACCCAAGGCUCCGGAUGGAUGAGCCUCGAUUAGGCUGUCUUUCUCUCCCAGGAAAGAACACCUCAGACCGGGGAGAAUACGAUGCUCUGGCCCUGAGGUGAUGAAGGCCUGGAGGUCUGGAUUUUUACUUCACUGCUUUUUUUCUUCACUAUUUUACAUUCUGGCCCAUAAAGGAGAUUUUGCAAAAUCCCUAAACUGUCAGUCAUACAAAUUGAAUUACACCUAAUACCUGGAUGAGAAAAAAAAUCCCUGCAUGGUAAAAAUGCCUGCUGAUGUUGUAACUGAAUCGAAGUGCAGUAUUAAACAAACUGAACCAUGCUGCAAAACCCCAACGACAACGUUGCAGAAUAUUUACUAUGAAUGUUUUAUUCUAUUUCUAUAAUAUCCUCACAUGAGAAGCACACUAUGUUUUAAGUAUGGUUGGUUACACUACUAAAACUAGUGUCAGACAGCACGUGGACCCUGGUUUUCAGUGUCAAAGAUAAAUGUCUUACAUCUUUAACACACCAGCCCUGUUGUAUCAUAAGUUGCAUGUGACACAUGUGACAGCUGUAGCAUAUACAGGCAACACUGCACAUACAGUAACAAAGUCGAAGUAGCUGCUCAUCUAAGGAAUGAAUGUGAUAUAACUGCUGUUUGUCUCCAUAUUGCAGCAUUGACCCACUUCAACUCAAAGAAAUAAAAGAACGUAUAUCUUGAUGUGGCGCCAUCAGUCCCAGCUGAUAGGCUGAUAGGUGUUGACAUACGUAUCAGAGUAUUUUGCUCUUUGUGUUUCACUUGCUACAUAAAGGAA